UCAGCCUCCCAAAGUGCUGGGAUUACAGGCAUGAACCACUGCACCCGGCCCACAGAUUUUUAAAAUAUAAUAUUUUGCAAAUUUUUUUGAGCAGAUUUUUCUUCAUGGGCUGGAAUGAUUGAGUCUUCCUAAAACAUUAGUCCAGUAGAGGUUAGACUGAAGAUGCCUUCCUUUCCUGGUAAAACUCAGCAAAUAUAGAUGUUCUUCACUGCAGCAAGGACUUUCAAAUUGAACUAGAAAUUAAGUUCAUCUUUCUCAAAGAAAAGAAAAAAAAAAUACUGCAAUGCAUCAAGCACCAAAGCUUCCAAAUGGUUUGGAUGGCAAAUGCUGAGAGAAGAGAUGGGAGGAGAAUAGCAGUUCCAGGAUAACAUCACCCAUUUCUUGCUAGGUAUUUCAUCAAGGUUAACUGCCUUAAUGCUAUUUGCUAAUCUUAACUAAUUUUGAGGGGAAAAAUCUUCUAUGUCCCUAUAUUAGCAUCUGUAGCUUACCCCCAAAUUCUGAUAUGAUAACAACCAGCUCAUUCCUAUAGAGAUCAAAUCAUUCACUGCCUAGGAUAUAAACAUUUUACUGAGGCUGUUCUUAAGCAUUUCAAAGUGAAAAAAAAAUAAUCCGAAUAGGGAAGGCACAGAAGAUUUUCAGGGCAGUGAAACUAUUCUGUAUGAUACUGUAAUUGUGGAUACAUGUCAUUAUACAUUUGUCCAAAUCUUUAGAAUAUACAACACCAAGAGUGAACUCUAAUGUAAACUAUGGACUUUGGGUGAUAACGUGUCAAUGUAGUUUCAUUGAUUGUAAAAAAUAUAUCCUCUGGUGUGGGAUUUUCAUAGUGAGGCAGGCUGUGUACAGUGGCAAGGGGCAUACAGAAACUCUCUGUACCCUCCUCAAAAUUUUGCCAUGAGGGAACUAAGCUAUGAGGACACAAAGGCAUAAGAAUAUACAACGGACUUUGAGGACUCAGAGGAAUGGGUAGGAGGCAGGUAAGGAAAAAAAAAAACUACACUUUGGGUACAGUGUAUGCUGCUCAGGUGAUGGGUGCACCUAAAUCUCAGAAAUCACUACUAAAGAACUUAUUCAUGUACAAAAAUAAAUAAAUGAAAAAAAUUUUUCUGUGAACCUAAAACUGCUCUAAAAAUAUAAUAAAGUCCAUUAAGAAAAAGAAACUUUAGUAAUGGCUUUGCUAAAAUUAUUGCUUGGUUCAAAGGAAUCUACCAUGAUGAUUUUUUUUUCUUCUAGAAAACUCUGUGGUAUCUCUUUCAAUUUAGCAUUUAUUGUUCACUUCCACUCUUUCAAGCCAAAUUCACCAUACCUAAGAGGGGGUGGUGAGGGUUAUAUAUGUGGGAGUGCUGGUCACCAGACAUACAUGGGCCUCAGUUCUGAUCAUCCAGGAACCUACAUGUCUUAGUCCCUUUAGGCUUGUACAACAAAAAUAUCAUCAAUGGGGUGGCUUAAACAAUAAACAUGUAUUUCUCACAGUUCUGGAGGUUGGGAGGUCCAAGAUCAAGGUGCUAGUAGGUUUGGCAUCUGGUGAGGGCCCAUUUCUGGUUCAUAGAUGGCCUCUUUCUCCCCAUGCCCUCAACAUGGCAGAAAGAGAACAACAGAGCUCUCUGGGGUCUCUUUUAUAAGGCACUAAUACCAUUAAUAAGGGUUAGGCCGUCAUGACUUAAUCACCUCCCAAAGUCCCCACCUCCUAAUACCAUCACCUUGGGGGUUAGGAUGUCAACGUAUGAAUUUGAGGAGGACGCAAACAUUCACUCACCAUAGACGUAGGCCCUUCACUGUCAGGGACCAAGUCUGAUUUGCCUUGGCCCUCCCCGCACCUAAGGUGGUACUUGGCACACAUUAUUUGCUUCAUAAAUGUUUACUGAGUGAAUAAAUGAUUGAACAAAUGAGAAAAACAAAUGGAGAUUCAAGAGGCGAGGCAUUUAUGGAGAAAAGAUUUGAAGAAAAAAGAACACAGAGAUGGCAAAGCUUGUAUUUUUAGUAUCCCUUCAUCUGUUCCUUGGCAACUCCUAUGUGAAAAGUGGCAGAGACAGAGUCAGGAAGCCUCGCUCCAGGUUUAGAAAACAUUGUCAGGGUGGCAGAAAAUCUAGUCCAUUCCUUCCUGCUGACCCAACUCAGUCAACAGUUCCUUGCUUGGGAACAUGAGGUUCAGAUGCUGACAUUUUUAAACAGCUGUGGCUUAAAUAACCCCAAGAAUUUCAGUAUCCAGAAAUAAAGGGAAGAGAAAAACUGGGUAUGAGACUGGGUAAGUCAGAUACAGCCACAGAAACGCACGGGGGAAGACCACACCUGGAAGCAAGGUUUUGCCAUGAGGAAUGAUGAACACCAGUGAGUUCAGACUAAUUUCGA
rnacentral:lncRNA from 10 species